CCCGCCCCCGCCCAGGAACCGCAUUUCCGGGUUGGGUCCCGGCGCGCCUGUAGAGGGAGACCGAGCGAGCCAAUCCGGGGCGGCGGGGAGGGGCUGGGUCUAGAGCGCCGAGCUGUCAUCCGCGUUCCUUGUCAGCUCACGAGUGAUCCGGGAGAGAGAUUGGGCUAUCCUAUUAUUUGAAGCAGAAAACAAGCCGUCCUGUCACUGACAGCCUCGGAAACUGUGCCUCUGUGUUGAGGUCAGAAGAGGGUAUCAAAUCCCCUGGAACUGGAGAUGGUUGUUAUCAACAGGUGGGUGCUCAGAACAACAGCAACACGUGCCCUUAACCUCUGCCAUUUCUCCAGCCCUAUAAGAAGUUUCUGUGAGUUUGAGGCCACCUUGGCCUCCAUGGUGAGUCCCAGGCCAGCCAAGGUUACAUAGUGAGAUCCUGUCUCAAACCAAGAAACUAAAAAUAAAUGAAUAAGAAGAAACCUUGUGUCAAAUAAGGUGGCAGAUAAGGACUAAGACCUGAAGCUGUCCUUGACCUCCAUAUAUGUGCCUGCACUCACACACACAAAUGUGCACACACACACACACACACACACACACACACACACACGGUGGGUUGACUUAAAGCAGCAUGGACUAUAACUCCCAGUGCCCAGAAGUCUCAUGUGGGGUGACCCAUCCUUCCUUUGACACCAAACACUGUUCCCCUGUGUCCUGUGUGCCCUUCUCCUGGUGGCCAUCUGCCUCAGCUGCAGAGGAUUCCAUUGCAGGAACAUUCCAUUUACAGAUGGGUAUUUAGAGAUCCACAUAUUGAUAAAUCUCUACUAACAUACCAAACAUUAAAAUGGUUCCCAGGCUGAGUGGUGGUGGCGCACACCUUUAAUCACAGCACUUGGAAGGCAGAAGCAGGUGGAUCUCUAUGAGUUCGAGGCCAGCCUGGUCUACACAGUUAGUUCUAGGACAGCCAAAGCUACAAAAAGAAACCCUGUUUCAAACAAACAAACAAACAAACAAAAACAACAACAAAAUAGUUCCCAGUUUUGUUUUGUUCUCAUGAACCAAGUCCUACACCAAAAUCUAGACACAGCCUUACUUGCUUUCUUGGAUAAAUUUGUAGUCUAUGAAAUUAGUAGGUCAAAGUGCAGUUCAUUACUGCUAAAUUGCCUGCCAUGUCCCACAAAGGCUACACUGUCAUUCCCUCUAUGAGGAGGGGAUGGGGUGGAGUGGG